GACGAACGCUGGCGGCGUGCCUAAUACAUGCCAGUUGAGCGCUGAAGGUUGGUACUUGUACCAACUGGAUGAGCAGCGAACGGGUGAGUAACGCGUGGGGAAUCUGCCUUUGAGCGGGGGACAACAUUUGGAAACGAAUGCUAAUACCGCAUAAAAACUUUAAACACAAGUUUUAAGUUUGAAAGAUGCAAUUGCAUCACUCAAAGAUGAUCCCGCGUUGUAUUAGCUAGUUGGUGAGGUAAAGGCUCACCAAGGCGAUGAUACAUAGCCGACCUGAGAGGGUGAUCGGCCACAUUGGGACUGAGACACCGCCCAAACUCCUACGGGAGGCAGCAGUAGGGAAUCUUCGGCAAUGGACGAAAGUCUGACCGAGCAACGCCGCGUGAGUGAAGAAGGUUUUCGGAUCGUAAAACUCUGUUGGUAGAGAAGAACGUUGGUGAGAGUGGAAAGCUCAUCAAGUGACGGUAACUACCCAGAAAGGGACGGCUAACUACGUG
rnacentral:rRNA from 1 species